rnacentral:rRNA from 1 species
AACGAUGAACACUAGGUGUCGGGGGAAUCGACCCCUUCGGUGUCGUAGCUAACGCGUUAAGUGUUCCGCCUGGGGAGUACGCACGCAAGUGUGAAACUCAAAGGAAUUGACGGGGGCCCGCACAAGCGGUGGAGUAUGUGGUUUAAUUCGAUGCAACGCGAAGAACCUUACCAGGGUUUGACAUCCUGCGAACCUCUUAGAAAUUUGAGGGUGCCUUCGGGAAUGCAGUGACAGGUGGUGCAUGGCUGUCGUCAGCUCGUGUCGUGAGAUGUUGGGUUAAGUCCCGCAACGAGCGCAACCCACGUUUUUAGUUGCCAGCAUUUAGUUGGGCACUCUAGAAAGACCGCCGGUGAUAAACCGGAGGAAGGUGUGGAUGACGUCAAGUCAUCAUGCCCCUUACACCCUGGGCUACACACGUACUACAAUGCUACGGACAAAGGGCAGCAAACUCGCGAGAGCUAGCAAAUCCCAUAAACCGUGGCUCAGUUCAGAUCGUAGGCUGCAACUCGCCUACGUGAAGUAGGAAUCGCUAGUAAUCGCAGGUCAGCAUACUGCGGUGAAUACGUUCCCGGGCCUUGUACACACCGCCCGUCACACCAUGGAAGUUGGCCAUGCCCGAAGUCGUUACUCCAACCCUUGUGGAGGAGGACGCCGAAGGUGGGGCUAAUGACUGGGGUGAAGUCGUAACAAGGUAACCGUA